rnacentral:misc_RNA from 1 species
UGCUUUUUAACUCAUUUCUCCAAAACAUUCUUCUAUCAUUCUAAACAUUAUCUAGUUAGCAAACAUUUUGAGGCAAUGCGUGAUCCAAGCAUACUCAAUCUCUUCUUUUUUAGUAGGUAACAUUUAAAUUUAUUAUUACCAUUUUCCUUUCCAGAUUUCCUUUUCAUUUUGAUUGUUUGUACAUAUUUAUGAUGUCUUUGUUCUUAUCUGACAUCAGCUUGAUUUCUUGCUGUUAUGCUUUGAAUCAAUAGGUGGUCCUAAACUUAAGAUCAG